UUCUGCCAUCUGGAUGCACAGGUCCACUUGCUCAGAUGUUUUGUGGAGGGUGAAUGUAAGCCACAGAAAUCAGGUCCAGCAAAGUUAAGAAAGAAAGAGUUAAACUUGGCAGAGGGUUUGUAUUGGGCUGAUGGUAAUCCAGCCCACUGGACUGACUAAUCCUGGGGGACCAAUCCCACCGACCACUUGCGGGGGGCCCAAUUGAAGCCAGAGCUUCGCUCUGUAUGGCCUGGCCAACAAUGUUUGAUUCACCAGUAGGUUUCGAACCUGAGACCUGGAGAGGAGCACACUCCCAAGUCCCAAGUCUUUCACCACCAGGGCAACCAUUGCUGGUUAUUUUCUUCAUAAGUGAAUUAUUCAUUAAGAUAAUUGGAUUGAGGAUGACACUCACAUUUUUACUUGAAUUUUGUAACCAACACUAUUGAUCCAUCAACAAUAGGGUUAUUCAUCUUUAUGGGUAA